CAUCCCACUGCGAGGAGGUCCCGGCGGUCCCUUGGGAAAACCGGGUGUCGCGAGCAGGAACACGAGCGGCCACCGGGCUAAUCCGCUCCUCCACCUUCCCGCUAGUACCUCCCCCUUCUGCUGCUUUCUUCAAUAGCAGCCCUUUCUCCAAAUCUCAGGUUACUUCGCUAAAGAGUUCUCAGCCCUAUAGUUUCAGCCCUUGUCUCUGCCUCCAGCUCCUUAAGAGCCACCCAGCCCCAGCGAUCGGAUUGGGCAGCCCGCCUUGACACACCACUGUGCUGAGUGCUUGAGGACGUGUUUCAACAGAUGGUUGGGGUUAGUGUGUGUCAUCACACUCGAGUGGGGAUUAGGGCAGAGAGGCAGCCCGGCUGGAGCUGUGUGGUCUUCCCCAAGUGGGAGCUGCGAGCAAACGAAGAACCACCUAGCUUUGGGGAAGAAGAGGGAGGAACUCAAUCCAGCAGCUCAGAGGGGAAAUAAAAACCCCACACUUUAUUCAGAGCAACAACCUGAUUUGUUUCUUCGCGCUGUAACAGAUCUUCACACUGACUCGCACAUACCUGUGUGCCUAUGAGUUACUGGCCUCCUACUUGUGAAGGAAAUCUCACACUCUCCUCACCGCUUACAG